rnacentral:rRNA from 1 species
GAUGAACGCUGGCGGCGUGCUUAACACAUGCAAGUCGAACGAUGAAGCUCAGCUUGCUGGGUGGAUUAGUGGCGAACGGGUGAGUAACACGUGAGUAACCUGCCCUUAACUCUGGGAUAAGCCUGGGAAACUAGGUCUAAUACCGGAUAGGAGCGCCUACCGCAUGGUGGGUGUUGGAAAGAUUUAUCGGUUUUGGAUGGACUCGCGGCCUAUCAGCUUGUUGGUGAGGUAAUGGCUCACCAAGGCGACGACGGGUAGCCGGCCUGAGAGGGUGACCGGCCACACUGGGACUGAGACACGGCCCAGACUCCUACGGGAGGCAGCAGUGGGGAAUAUUGCACAAUGGGCGAAAGCCUGAUGCAGCGACGCCGCGUGAGGGAUGACGGCCUUCGGGUUGUAAACCUCUUUCAGUAGGGAAGAAGCGAAAGUGACGGUACGUGCAGAAGAAGCACCGGCUAACUACGUG